rnacentral:rRNA from 1 species
GAUGAACGCUGGCGGCGUGCCUAAUACAUGCAAGUCGAGCGAAUGGAUUAAGAGCUUGCUCUUAUGAAGUUAGCGGCGGACGGGUGAGUAACACGUGGGUAACCUGCCCAGAAGACUGGGAUAACGCCGGGAAACCGGGGCUAAUACCGGAUAACAUUUUGAACCGCAAGGUUCGAAAUUGAAAGGCGUCUUCGGCUGUCACUUAUGACUGGACACGCGUCGCAUUAGCUAGUUGGUGAGGUAACAGCUCACCAAGGCAACGAUGCGUAGCCGACCUGCGAGGGUGAUCGGCCACACUGGGACUGAGGCACGGCCCAGACUCCUACGGGAGGCAGCAGUAGGGAAUCUUCCGCAAUGGACGAAAGUCUGACGGAGCAACGCCGCGUGCGUGAUGAAGGCUUUCGGGUCGUAAAACUCUGUUGUUAGGGAAGAACAAGUGCUAGUUGAAUAAGCUGACACCUUGACGGUACCUAGCCAGAAAGCCACGGCUAACUACGUGCCAGCAGCCGCCGUAA